GAGUGAUGGGCUAGCCUCGUGAGAGCUUCUCAAGCCUUUGCAGUUUCCAGGGAAAGUCCCACCCUCCUCUGGCGAUCUGUGUAUUCCUGAGCCCUAGCCUGGUGCCCUCUUCAUCGAGGUCUGGGUCAUGGACUCAAAGCCCCUGACAAAGCAAUGGAACAAGGAGCCAGGAAGCCUCAGAUCUAUCACUGGCUGUCUCUUGGACAGAUUAUGAGUUGGAGCCUAUGGUCGAUCGACUCCAGAGACUUUCUACAAAGCAAACAUUUAACAUGGACCUGAAGCCCUUUUUAAAAAAAACCAUCUCAAAACCAGAUCCAGCUUUCUGCAAGCUCAACC
rnacentral:lncRNA from 1 species